rnacentral:rRNA from 1 species
GAUGAACGCUGGCGGCGUGCCUAAUACAUGCAAGUCGAGCGAACAGACGAGGAGCUUGCUCCUCUGACGUUAGCGGCGGACGGGUGAGUAACACGUGGAUAACCUACCUAUAAGACUGGGAUAACUUCGGGAAACCGGAGCUAAUACCGGAUAAUAUAUUGAACCGCAGGGUUCAAUAGUGAAAGACGGUUUUGCUGUCACUUAUAGAUGGAUCCGCGCCGCAUUAGCUAGUUGGUAAGGUAACGGCUUACCAAGGCUACGAUGCGUAGCCGACCUGAGAGGGUGAUCGCCCACACUGGAACUGAGACACGGUCCAGACUCCUACGGGAGGCAGCAGUAGGGAAUCUUCCGCAAUGGGCGAAAGCUUGACGGAACAACGCCACGUGAGUGAUGAAGGUCUUCGGAUCGUAAAACUCUGUUAUUAGGGAAGAACAACUGUGUAAGUAACUAUGCACGUCUUGACGGUACCUAAUCAGAAAGCCACGGCUAACUACGUG